AGGGAGUACCACCUUAAAUUGUAGUGUAGAUAUGUGCAGAGUAACCUUGCCUAAUAUCCUCCAAACCCGAAGCUUUGCAAAUUUAAAAGCCAUCUACAUUUUAGAUUUAAUGUCCUGUUUUCAAUUCCUAAUCUAAAUCAUCUCAACUCCCUGUAAUUCCUGAAUGAAUUCUAAACUCCAAGUCCUUCACGGGCCGAAUUCUAAUUCCCCCUCAAAAAACAGCCCGUAGACCCGUUUCACUCCGGUGUGUCUUUUUUCCCUUUCCUGUCACCCACAAC
rnacentral:lncRNA from 1 species